rnacentral:rRNA from 1 species
UACGUAGGGGGCAAGCGUUGUCCGGAUUUAUUGGGCGUAAAGCGCGCGCAGGCGGCUUGGUAAGUCGGCCGUGAAAUCUCCAGGCUCAACUUGGAGGGGUCGGGCGAGACUGCCAGGCUCGAGGUGGGUAGAGGGCAGUGGAAUUCCGGGUGUAGUGGUGGAAUGCGUAGAGCUCCGGAGGAACACCAGUGGCGAAGGCGGCUGCCUGGGCCUGGCCUGACGCUGAGGCGCGAAAGCGUGGGGAGCAAUCCGG